AGCGAUCUUUGCCUCCCCUCAUGGAAACCCUGAAAACAUUCGGCGACAUAUCCCAUUACCGCCUGAAUCAAGAUAAAACCCAGGCCCUUCCCGUCGGACUCACACUAACCACCAAAACAAUACUGAAAGAUAACUACCCCUUUGACUGGAGAAAGACAUCGCUAACAUACCUAGGCAUAAAAAUAGCACCAACGAUAGCAGAAAUCCUGAAACUAAAUUACCUUACGCUUCCC